CUUUAGGUCGGCAAUGUUGGAGAUGCGUCCCUUUUGGACAAAGCCAUUCAUCGUGUGAUCCAUGAUCAGAAGAAAGUCCACCAUUCUGUAAGCAUCCAUCUCCAAGAAUUGGGCGUGAAAAUGUUUUGUAACGAGAGAGGAAAAGAAGUCCUUAAUUACACCUACCCUGAGAUUUCAGCCUGUGGGUGCUGUUCCACCGAUAACCAUUAUUUGGCUUUCAUCGCAGGAAACGAUUUGUGCACGAUGGCCACAGAAUUCAUGUGUCACGUGUUCUAUUGUGCCAAUCAGGCCAAAGCCAGGGAUGUGAUUUCAACAAUUGCCGAGGGAUUUGAGAGAACUCAAAACGCGGUAUAGGGGGAAAAACGUUGUUGAAAAGCGCUAGCAAAUUUGUAGAGGUUGCGUAGUUCUAUUUUCAUAGGUUUCGUGGUAAUUUCGUUCGUCGAGUUUUCUUCUCGAUCAACAAUUUAUUCAUCUGUUGCUACAAACACUCAAUAAAGAUUCGUAUUUAAAACCUA